UACGGAGGGAGCUAGCGUUGUUCGGAAUUAUUGGGCGUAAAGAGCUCGUAGGCGGUUUGUCGCGUCUGCUGUGAAAACUGGAGGCUCAACCUCCAGCCUGCAGUGGGUACGGGCAGACUAGAGUGCGGUAGGGGAGAUUGGAAUUCCUGGUGUAGCGGUGGAAUGCGCAGAUAUCAGGAGGAACACCGGUGGCGAAGGCGGGUCUCUGGGCAGUAACUGACGCUGAGGAGCGAAAGCGUGGGGAGCGAACAGG
rnacentral:rRNA from 1 species